AGAGUUUGAUCAUGGCUCAGAAUCAACGCUGGCGGCGUGCCUAACACAUGCAAGUCGCACGAGAAAGGGGAGCAAUCCCUGAGUAAAGUGGCGCACGGGUGAGUAACACGUGACUAAUCUACCCUCGAGUGGGGAAUAACUGAGAGAAAUCUUAGCUAAUACCGCAUAACACUUACGAGUCAAAGCAGCAAUGCGCUUGGGGAGGAGGUCGCGGCCGAUUAGCUAGUUGGCGGGGUAAUGGCCCACCAAGGCGAUGAUCGGUAUCCGGCCUGAGAGGGCGCACGGACACACUGGAACUGAAACACGGUCCAGACUCCUACGGGAGGCAGCAGUGGGGAAUUUUGCGCAAUGGGGGAAACCCUGACGCAGCAACGCCGCGUGGAGGAUGAAAUAUCUUGGUAUGUAAACUCCUUUCGAUGGGGAAGAUAAUGACGGUACCCAUAGAAGAAGCCCCGGCUAACUUCGUGCCAGCAGCCGCGGUAAUACGAGGGGGGCAAGCGUUGUUCGGAUUUAUUGGGCGUAAAGGGUGCGUAGGCGGUUUGACAAGUCUUAUGUGAAAUCUAUGGGCUCAACCCAUAGUCUGCAUAAGAAACUGUUGAGCUUGAGUAUGGGAGAGGUGAGUGGAAUUUCCGGUGUAGCGGUGAAAUGCGUAGAUAUCGGAAGGAACACCUGUGGCGAAAGCGGCUCACUGGACCAUAACUGACGCUGAGGCACGAAAGCUAGGGGAGCAAACAGGAUUAGAUACCCUAGUAGUCC
rnacentral:rRNA from 1 species